CCUACGGGAGGCAGCAGUGGGGAAUAUUGCACAAUGGGCGGAACCCUGAUGCAGCAACGCCGCGUGGGGGAAGAAGGAUUUCGGGAUGUAAAGCUCUUUUAUCAGGGAAGAAGGUGACGGUACCUGAUGAAGAAGGCUCGGCUAACUACGUGCCAGCAGCCGCGGUCAUACGUAGGGGGCGAGCGUUAUCCGGAUUUACUGGGUGUAAAGGGGGCGUAGCUGGAUCUUCAAGUGUGGGGUGAAAGUCUGAGGCCAAACCACGAGACUGCUGUGGAAACUGGGAGGCUGGAGUGCAUGAGGGGUAAGCGGAAUGCCUAGUGUAGCGGUGAAAUGCGUAGAUAUUAGGAAGAACACCGAUGGCGAAGGCAGUUUACUGGGCUGUAACUGACACUGAGGCACGAAAGCGUGGGGAGCAAACAGGAUUAGAUACCCGUGUAGUC
rnacentral:rRNA from 1 species